CACCUCCAGCAUCCCUAGUAUUGGAGGCACUGCCUGCCCAGUGACUAAACGUAAAACGGCCGCGGUAUUCUGACCGUGCAAAGGUAGCAUAAUCAUUUGUUCUCUAAAUAAGGACUUGUAUGAAUGGCCCCACGAGGGUUUUACUGUCUCUUACUUCCAAUCAGUGAAAUUGACCUCCCCGUGAAGAGGCGGGGAUAAACCAACAAGACGAGAAGACCCUAUGGAGCUUUAACUAACUAGCCCAAAGAAAAUAGACUUAACCACCAAGGGAUAACAACACUCUUUAUGGACUAGCAGUUUUGGUUGGGGUGACCUCGGAGAACAAAAAAUCCUCCGAGCGAUUUUAAAGACUAGACUUACAAGUCAAACCAAAUUAUCGCUUAUUGAUCCAAAAACUUGAUCAACGGAACAAGUUACCCUAGGGAUAACAGCGCAAUCCUAUUCAAGAGUCCAUAUCGACAAUAGGGUUUACGACCUCGAUGUUGGAUCAGGACACCCCGAUGGUGCAACCGCUAUCAAAGGUUCGUUUGUUCAACGAUUAAAGUCCU
rnacentral:rRNA from 1 species